UUAAAAAGCUCGUAGUUGGAUUUCUGUCGAGGGCGGGCGGUCCGCACUAUGUGCGUGUAUCUUGUUCGGUCUUGGCAUCCUCUUGGGGAAUGCUUCUGUGCUUGAUUGCAUGGGGUGGAAUUCAAGACUUUUACUUUGAGGAAAUUAGAGUGCUCACGGCAAGCUACCGCUUUGAAUACAUUAGCAUGGAAUAAUAAUAUAGGGCGUAAGUUCUAUUUUGUUGGUUUCUAGGACAUACGCAAUGAUUAAUAGGGACAAUUGGGGGCAUUCGUAUUAACGCGUCAGAGGUGGAAUUCUUAGAUUGCGUUACGACGAACUACUGCGAAAGCAUUUGCCAAAGAUGUUUUCAUUGAUCAAGAACGAAAGUAUGGGGAUCGAAGACGAUUAGAUACCGUCGUAGUCUAUACCAUAAACUAUGCCAAUUAGAGAUUGGGCGUCGUUCCGUUUUAUGACUCGCUCAGCACCUUUAUGAGAAAUCAAAAUUUUUUGGGUUCCCGGGGGGAGUAUGGUCGCAAGGCUGAAACUU
rnacentral:rRNA from 1 species